GACGAACCGAGCGAACGUUGUUCGGAAUCACUGGGCUUAAAGGGCGCGUAGGCGGGUGCUCAAGUCCGUGGUGAAAUCCUCCGGCUCAACCGGAGAACUGCCUCGGAUACUGGUGCCUCGAGGGUGGUAGGGGUAUGCGGAACUAUCGGUGGAGCGGUGAAAUGCGUUGAUAUCGAUAGGAACUCCGGUGGCGAAGGCGGCAUACUGGACCACCUCUGACGCUGAGGCACGAAAGCCAGGGGAGCAAACGGG
rnacentral:rRNA from 1 species